CGUGCCCGGAAUCACCUGACUUGGAGCCGUGGAGGGGGGAGGAGGAGUCACGAGGAGGGUGGCCCGGCCGGCCGAGCCCUCUGCCCUCCGCCCUAGCGAGCACCCCGGUCCUGCCCAGCCACGCGCGGUACUCCUCGCCGCUCCCCUGCCUUCUUAGGAGCUCUGGAGGCCAUCGCAACGGGAGAUGCUCUCUGGGCAUUUGGGGGAAGAACUAGUUGUGCUCCUACAAUGGUACUCGCCCGACCAGUAUUUAUUGAUGCCCGCGAUGCCCUGGGGGGAUAAGGGACACAAAACUGAGACCGACUCGGACCCUGCCCGCCCUCAAGUUGCUCGAAGAUUGAUAGAGAUCGGAUCUCUGCGACUUGUCCCUUGGUCCUGAUAGUGACGCUCAACAGCUCAGGUGACCGCUCUGCUCCACGGCAACUCUCCUCACUGACCCCAGGCGCUCACUCUCCUUUCUGUGCUCACAACUUUACCUCACAUUUUCAGCUUCCCACGGACAAAAAUUGUAUAGAGAUAUUCGUCAUGUUUGAGGUCAGGAAAUAAAAAUAAAGAUGAAAGAAAAAUUCUGGUGCCAAGAAGGAAGAUAAGUGCUCCGCGAAUAUUGAUAAAUGAAGACACCAUGAUUCCCAAAUACCAGUUAUCGUUUAAAAGAAAAAAGUCCAUAGAUUCCAUUCCCAAAGUUCUUACCACUAGAACAUUCAUAAAAUAGCCUCCCAUCAGAGCAUAGACUCCUCCUGAAGCACCCACAAGACAUCUGAGUGGGUCGAAAAUGGAGCUGGCAAGGGACCCUAAAGAAAGAAAACCACAAAGGAUCAGACAUAACCGUAAGAAUCAUGAAAAACAAAUCUAUAAUGUAGAAGUUGGGACGUUUGGACCAUUACCAUAUUAACAAGCAACAAAUUGAUUCUGUUUGUCCCUUCCAUACUAUAAAGGUAUAGACGUGUGGGCUAA